rnacentral:sRNA from 1 species
AUGUGCCGCUUGUACGCUGCGGUUCCUGCGCGCUGUCCGCGCUCACCCGACGGCGAUUUGUGAGGUUUUGCUAGCC